rnacentral:rRNA from 1 species
GAUGGACGCUGGCGGCGUGCCUAAUACAUGCAAGUCGAGCGAACAGACGAGGAGCUUGCUCCUCUGACGUUAGCGGCGGACGGGUGAGUAACACGUGGAUAACCUACCUAUAAGACUGGGAUAACUUCGGGAAACCGGAGCUAAUACCGGAUAAUAUAUUGAACCGCAUGGUUCAAUAGUGAAAGACGGUUUUGCUGUCACUUAUAGAUGGAUCCGCGCCGCAUUAGCUAGUUGGUAAGGUAACGGCUUACCAAGGCAACGAUGCGUAGCCGACCUGAGAGGGGGACGGGACACACGGGAACGGAGACAGGGCCCAGACCCCUACGGGAGGCAGCAGUAGGGAAUCUUCCGAAAUGGGCGAAAGCCUGACGGAGCAACGCCGCGGGAGGUAUGAAGGGCUUCGGAUCGUAAAACUCUUUUAUUAGGGAAAAAAAAAUGUGUAAGUAACUAUGCACGUCUUGACGGUACCUAAUCAGAAAGCCACGGCUAACUACGU